AUGUACAAGAUGCCAUGCGCUCCAUUCAUAGGAAUAAAUAACCACAAUCAGUCAUUGCAGUUCGGAUGCGGGCUCGUUCGGAACGAAGACAUGGAUGGGUACACUUGGCUGUUCAAGACCUUCUUGGAGUGCAUGGGUGGACUUGCUCCGAUAAACAUAAUAACAGACCAGGAUUUUAGCAUGCGUGCAGGCAUAGAGGUCGUUCCGUUGGCAGUGCACAGGCACUGCAGGUGGCACAAUAUAAAGAAGGCUGAGGAGACGCUAGGACCGUUCUUUGCUGACCGUCCAGAGCUGCACAAGGCAUUUGAGCUGUGCGUGGACCAUAGCUUGACGGUGGAGGAGUUUGAAAGGAGCUGUAUGGCUAUGAUUGAAACAUAUCAAGUCCAAGACCACGAGACGCUUGCUAGCUUGUGGGAGAAGCGAAUGUACUGGAUGCCGGCCUACUUCAUGCAGUGCUUCUUCCCGUUUCUGCAGACUACACAGCGCAGUGAGGGGUUCAAUGCUGUUUUGAAGCGGUACAUGAGCCCUGGCAACUCAUUGCUACAGUUUGCCAAGAAGUACACCGCUUUGCAACAAAAAAUACUGGGAUCCGAGCUACAGCAAGAAGCAAACACCGCGCUCAAGUAG
rnacentral:rRNA from 1 species